UCGUUAGCCAAUCAGCUGAUCUCGUAUGGCAGUUGUCAGUUCCCUACGCUGGGAUUCGUUGUGGAACGUUUCAAAUCCAUCCAGGCGUUUAUACCGGAGACCUUCUACAAGAUCAGAGUCCUCCAGGAGGUAGAGGAGGAAUCAGUAGAGUUCAGCUGGAAGAGGAAC